rnacentral:rRNA from 1 species
CAGGCUGUCUCCACCCGAGACUCAGUGAAAUUGAACUCGCUGUGAAGAUGCAGUGUACCCGCGGCAAGACGGAAAGACCCCGUGAACCUUUACUAUAGCUUGACACUGAACAUUGAGCCUUGAUGUGUAGGAUAGGUGGGAGGCUUGGAAGUGUGGACGCCAGUCUGCAUGGAGCCGACCUUGAAAUACCACCCUUUAAUGUUUGAUGUUCUAACGUUGACCCGUAAUCCGGGUUGCGGACAGUGUCUGGUGGGUAGUUUGACUGGGGCGGUCUCCUCCUAAAGAGUAACGGA